rnacentral:sRNA from 1 species
AUUGCAAAUUAAGAAUCUUGUCUAUGUUUCCAUAAAACAGUAAAGGGUGAUUUUCUCUUGUAAAGUGGCUUGAACCCCACAGCUAUAGCACAAGCAAGCAGGGUCAUCAAAAGCCACUCCAUUCUUCUGGAAACUGCAGAGAGAGGGAACCCGGAAAUCUGGUAUGCCGGCAAAAAGGGGGAAAAAAAAGGAGGAGAGAGAGAAGAGACAGAUUCAGUUGGCCUCAUGCUAUCUUCAUUGGAUCUUCUUUGGAAAGGUAUUCCACUAACAGCCCAAACUAUCGCAUUUUUAGUACCAGAAGUACUAUUAAGUUAGAGUAUGAAGGAACAUUAUUUACUGAGUGGAGUGUGCCAGAAACUUGUUUUGUGCUAAAUAAAAGCUCACCCACGACAGUAUUGCGUUGUUCCUCACCUGGUGUUCAUGCUAUAAAACCAAUUGUUACCGGCCCAGAUGAAGAAGAACGCUAUUUAUUUGUGGAAAGUUCUCAUACUUGCUUUCUGUGGUACUAUAGAGUUAGGCUAAAGGAAGAAGAAGCACCUUUGCAAUCUGGACAGAAAAUGAAAUUUACCUCGGAUACAUUCUUCUUAAAUUUGCCAGAUUACUAACUACCGCAGAACUGAAAAACAUCCUAAAUCUAUCAGUAACUGCUACUCUGACUAUAGACAGGGUUGAGUAUACAGGACACCCUCUGGAGAUUGCUGUGUUUUUAAAUUAUUGCACUGUAUGUACCAUCACCAAAAAGAUUUUCUUAGUGAUAUAUAAUGAAGAUACCAAACAGUGGGUUUCCCAAGACUUUACAUUAGAUGCCCCUAUUGACAGUGUUAUCAUGCCACAUUUUACAUUUUCAGCACUGCCAGGAUUACUGCUGUGGAACAAGCAUAGUAUCUACUAUUGUUACCAUAAUUUCACCUUUACUGGGAUUUUACAGACACCUGCAGGACAUGGAAAUCUAUCAAUGCUAUCAAAUAACAGCAUUAUUCAUGAAGUUUUAAUAGAUUAUUAUGGAGAUAUUUUGGUAAAAAUGGAAAAUAAUGUAAUAUUUUAUUCCAAGAUUAAUACUAGAGAUGCAGUAAAGCUGCAUUUAUGGACAAAUUACACAACAAAAGCAUUCAUUUUCUUAAAUACAUCUGGUCAAACAUAUUUCUUGUAUGCUUUGGACGAUGGCACAAUACAAGUACAGGACUAUCCCUUACAUCUGGAAGCAAAAAGUAUAGCUUUCAAGACAAAAGACAAAUGCCCAUACGUGGCAUUUCAUAAUAAUGUUGCUCGUGUUUUUUACUUUUUGGACAAGGGAGAGGCUCUGACAGUUUGGACUCAAAUUGUCUAUCCAGAAAACACUGGUCUGUAUGUUAUUGUGGAAUCUUAUGGCCCAAAAAUAUUACAAGAGAGUCAUGACAUUUCCUUUGAAGCUGCCUUUGGAUACUGCACCAAAACUCUGACACUAACAUUUUAUCAGACUGUAGAUUAUGAGAGAAUAUCUGAUUACUUUGAGACGCAGGACAACCACACGGGGCUUGUGGUGGUUCAAUUUCGACCUAGUGAAUAUUCAAAAACAUGUCCAAUGGCCCAAAAGGUGUUCCAAAUAGCUGUUGGCUGUGAUGAUAAAAAAUUCAUUGCAAUUAAAGGAUUUAGUAAAAGAGGAUGUCAUCACCAUGAUUUUUCAUACGUGAUUGAAAAGUCAUAUCUGAGGCAUCGACCAUCUAAAAACUUGGUAAGAAAACUAUAAAAUUUUGCCAAUGGACCAAAUAUAUAAAAUCACUAAAAUAUUUUUCCUUUUCUAGAGAGUAAGGUAUAUUUGGGGAGAAUAUGGCUGCCCUCUGAGGCUUGACUUCACAGAAAAGUUUCAACCUGUGGUUCAACUAUUUGAUGAUAAUGGCUAUGUUAAAGACAUUGAAGCAAAUUUCAUAGCGUGGGAAAUACACGGCAGGGAUGACUAUAGCUUUAAUAAUACUAUGGCACAGAGUGGUUGUUUACAUGAAGCACAGACAUGGAAGUCAAUGAUUGAACUUAACAAGCACCUCCCACUAGAAGAAGUCUGGGGACCUGAGGUAAGAGAAACAUUACCUUCCAAAUUGUUUAUUUGGAAUAACUAAUCUGGCAUUUUGCUAUUAACAAAAACUUGAUGGAAACAUUUUGGAUUAAAUUUGUUUUGGCAAAUCAAAUCCUAUUUUUAUAUUAAAUUGUAUCACGGUAUUUUUAAAAUGCUUCAUCUUAAUUUGUUUGAUCUUUUGUUGGUUCUGUGUUACUAUUUUAAUUUUCACUGCUGUAAAUAUGUGUUUGCAGAUUAUUAAAUAUCUGUUAAACAUG